rnacentral:tRNA from 1 species
GCCCUUGUAGCUCAGCGGGAGAGCACCUCGCCUACAACGAGGAUGUCGGGAGUUCGAUUCUCUCCAGGGGCU